rnacentral:tRNA from 1 species
UGAGAUAUAGCUUAAUUCUAAAGCCUCUUGCUUACACCAAGAUAAUGCCUGACAAAACAGACUAUCUCAAG